rnacentral:tRNA from 1 species
UCUAAUAUGGCAGAAAUAAUAAUGCACUGAACUUAAAAUUCAUUUAUAAAGAUCAAUCUUUUUUUAGAAA